CACCGGCGGCUCGAGUGGUGGCCACUUUUAUUGGGUCUAAAGCGUCCGUAGCCGGCUUGGCAAGUCCCCUGGGAAAUCUGGCGGCUUAACCGUCAGGCGUCCAGAGGAUACUGCCAGGCUUGGGACCGGGAGAGGUGAGAGGUACCUCAGGGGUAGGGGUGAAAUCUUGUGAUCCCUGAGGGACCACCAGUGGCGAAGGCGGCCGGCUGGAACGGGUCCGACGGUGAGGGACGAAGGCCGGGGGAGCAAACCGG
rnacentral:rRNA from 1 species